rnacentral:lncRNA from 1 species
GGCAAGAUGCCGAGCAAGCACGCUUCUGUCUUUAUCACCGGGCUCCGGUGGGGUCCGUGCCCGCGGGGUCUUUAACAACCUUGUCGGCUUUGUGUCGGGCGUCUUUGAGAUCGAGUUCAGGUUCUUAGCGUUUCAAAACCCCGUCCGUUUCAAGCUACAGGCGACACUCCUGUGACUGUUCUCUCCUUUCUCCUCGCUUCAACGGCAGGAUCUUCCCUUUGGGAAAGAGGAAAAGCAGCUUGUCAGAACUACAUUCCCAUAAUGCUGUCUGGGGGGCGUGAGCAGCGGCCCUCAGUCGGACAUCUGGCUGGCGCGAGACGGGAAUGAAAGUGGGGAACCCGGGGCUGAAGGAGAGUAAAUCCCGGACACGCGGAGACGCUGGAGCGACGGCCGUCCCCGCUGGUCUGGCGGCCCGCCGGGCCCUGUGAACGCCCUGCUGUGUGUCCCCCCUCUGCAGUGGUCAUCCCUGUGCUUCUCGGCCUGUGCGCGCUGGCCCUGCUGACCGGAGCGGCGCUGUUCUGGUGCAGGAGGAAGAGGGGACCGGGCACAGGCUCCUGGGACAAGGGCGUGUCGCUGCAGAGAGCCUCGCCGUCGGCACCGGGGACCGAGACGAAUCAGUCCGCAGCAGGGCAGGGGGAGGGAGAGGUCCACUACGCCUCCCUGGGACACCAGGGCAAGAGGGACCCGCGGCCCCGAGCCCAGGACGCGGACUCCAGCGUGGUCUACUCCUCCGUGGCCCGGGGCGUCUGAGCGCUUGGGAAUGUCCCAGGAGGCACCCUGCGACAGGACAGCACAGGACAGGAGCGGCCGAUCAGACCUGCCAGAGAGCACAAGGGACACUAGGUGAACGUGCAAUCGAACCCAAGAGCAGGAGGCUCUUCUGUACACAGAGGGGGGUGGGGGUGGGGAACAAGCCGCCCAGCCCUGUGGUUGAAGCCGAUACCCCGGCUUCUCUCCAGACACAGCUGGGUGAGCUCCUCCAGUCAGGACAGGGGGCUCUACUGUACACAGAGAGUGGCGGGGGUGUGGAACAAAGCCGAUACCCUGGCUUCUCUCCAGACGCAGCUGGGUGAGCUCCUCCAGUCAGGACAGGGGGCUCUUCUGUACACAGAGGGGUGCGGGGGUGUGGAACAGGCUGCCCAGCCGUGAGUUGACGGCUCCGAUCAGUUAACUCCUCACCUGGCCCCUUGGCUUCCAUUCGCUUGUCUCGGAGCUCCCUGACCUCUUCCUUCACAAGUCCCGGGCUCGUCCCACGCUGCUCAGUUCGGCCGCCCUGCCUGCCCGCCCCCCUGGGUCCAGUCCGCCGCACGCCGGCGCCCCCCUGUGGCUGCUCCCCAGCGGUACAGGGCCAAAGAUUAUUAUUAUUAUUACAUUAUUAUAAGGACUGUCCCGCUGGUCUGUAGUCAAACGGCAGAAGUCUCCCAGGAGACGUGACCUGUAAGGAUAUUGCUCUUGGUGUUGUAAGUGGGAAUAAAAACACUUGUAUGAUGCUCACUGUGAUUCCCCUGCUGGCCAAGUUUUUUUUCCGCACCUAAAAACGUGGAGAGAUCGAAACCUUUUAGGUUUUAAAGAGUCAUGUAAUUUGUACCCCGAUUCCUCACACAAAAUCUAAAACUAGCCGUGGAAAAGUGGUUGACACGAAUCUUGUUGUGUUUAUGCAAGACGUUAUUAAUGUUCCAGUUGCCUC